rnacentral:lncRNA from 1 species
UAACUCUCCUUUUAUUACCUUUAGGUACAGUUUGGUUCGGGGAUAAGUAAGAACUAGUUUUUCAGGGAUAGAUACAAGUAUGAGGAUUAGAGUAAUUUUGUGUUUGGAUGAAAAUAGAUAUAAGGAUAGGUAUAAGGAGGGAUAGGAGAAAAAGUGUUUGGAUGGUAUUUGGGGAUAAGAGGAUAGUGGGUUCGUGAAAGUAUAAAAUUACCAAAUUACCCCUACUGAGAAAAAGAGAAUGGUGAGUGAUAGGAUUGGUAAGUUUUAUUAUUUUAAAUUCAUAUGUACAAUAAAUAAUGCGAGUAUUUUUUACCCAUUAUUUUUUAACCAAUACAAUAAUAAAAAUAUC